rfam:Chlorocebus sabaeus isolate 1994-021 chromosome 23, whole genome shotgun sequence.
CAACAGGUUCUCUUUGGAACCACACUUUGUGCUUAUAACUUUUACU